AUGAAUCGUUUUGACCAAAUUCGUUUUGCAUGGCCCCGGGGCAUGGUUUGCUCAUUUUCCACCAUUCAAUUGAUCCUAAAUCAUAAACAAUCACUCACCCACCCGGAGUCGCAAUUUGAAGGCGAAGUGAGUGGAUGUCUCAACAGUCACGUUUUCUCUUUUCCUGAAAGACUUUCUUCAGUGUACAUUGCAUUUGACUGCAGCUGGUUUCACCACAUGUCCAGUCAUGUCAGAAUUAAUAGAGAAGGAUGUCUUUUGAACAUAUUGGGACUCGACCAUAGUAAUGUCUCUCUGUCAUCGAAUAAACUGUUAAUAACCUCUUAUCUCUCUCUUCCUCUCUCUCUGUAUCUCUCUCUUCCUCUUUCUCUGUAUCUCUCUCUGUAUCUCUCUCUUCCUCUUUCUCUGUAUCUCUCUCUGUAUCUCUCUCUGUAUCUGUCUGUCUGUCUGUCUGUCUGUCUGUCUGUCUGUCUGUCUCUCUCUCUCUCUCUCUNNNNNNNNNNNNNNNNNNNNNNNNNNNNNNNNNNNNNNNNNNNNNNNNNNNNNNNNNNNNNNNNNNNNNNNNNNNNNNNNNNNNNNNNNNNNNNNNNNNNNNNNAGUUCAAUGUAACCAGUGUUCUGGUUGGUAGUUCAUAGUAAACAUUACAGUAUGUUGUUGUUGGAAAAAUAUUUAGAUGAUGUAUACAUGAGAUACCUUAUUUUGAGUAGAUCAUGUUUAGAUAAUGUCUUGUUACAUUAUAAUGUAUAGAUCUGCAGUUUGAAGAUAUGUUAUCAUAAUGGUUAGUUAAGCAUCUAAGAAGAGGGAUGUAGGGUAUUAGCAACACCUAGUGGUGAAAAGCCACUAUGGGGCACUAUGAGGCACGGCUGUAGGCUGCUCUUGGGUUUCCGGAACGUUGGGUUAGGGACCGGGAAUAAAGUACAGCUCAAUGAUUCCCGUGAGUUUGAGGCAAGUCAAUACAUUAUAACUACCGCUUGUAAAAUAUAUAUAUUUUUUCAACUGUAAAAAUAAUGUUGCUUUGCAGGACAAGGAUUGUCCUGAAUUGCUUCGCCUUGCUUUUCUGGUUGGCUGGUUGCAAGUUUCACCGUAUAAUUAUUUCAGAUAGGACUGUAAUUUUCACCAUGUCACGGACCGUGGCGAUAUGCUGGCACAUGAGACUUAUUAGAAUAUGGCAAAUAUUAGUCAAUUGUUGUAUUCUAUGCAUGCUGGCUUUUACAGGCUACCUGUCACAUGGAACAGAUGUGUUGGGAAGGCAAACAGUCACACAUGUAUUAGCAACACCUAGUGGUGAAAAACCACUAUGGGGCACUAUGAGGCACGGCUGUAGGCUGCUCUUGGGUUUGCGGAACGUUGGGUUAGGGACCGGGAAUAAAGUACAGCUCAAUGAUUCCCGUGAGUUUGAGGCAAGUCAAUACAUUAUAACUACUGCUUGUAAAAUAUAUAUUUUUUUUCAACUGUAAAAAUAAUGUUACAUGUAUAUUCAUGUGCAAUUUGCCUAAAUGGGUAAAGGAAACACUUCAACCAUUACAUUAAAACAUAUCUAGUGAUAUCAUGGUUGCACAGGUCAUAGGUUAGGCUGCACAGUGCAAUAUGAAUGUCCAUUAACACACAAUAGACUGACCGGGAAGGUGACUUCCCAAAGUCAAUGUCCUGCAAUAUGAGCUAAGGUGUUAAUAUUUGUCUAAACUCUACACAGUUGUAUUCUGUGGGUGUCACUGAGUCGGCUGAUACCAUAUUUCAUUGGAGCACACUCCAUAGGUUAGGCUGUACAGUACAUAUAAUUAUGCCCCAAAUGGAAUUCUGAAUUCAAAUAAAUCCACAGUGUGAUUUCAACUGAUUUUACAUAUAGCCUUUUAAAGCAAAUAGCCUUUUAUAGAAUGUAUUGAACAACAUUCCAACCUUGUUUAGCAUUGUCUAGUCCAAUUGUGGCAUGAUUCCACUGUUUUUAUCAGUUUGAAACAGUUUCAAUGGGGGACUUUUAUUUUGAAGGCAAACCACAUAUUCCACUAUUCUUGCUAACGCUAAUUGUUGUUCACGCCACAUGUCUCAACCUUGUCUGUGGAAUGAGCAGGUAUCUGCCGGAGGCAUACCUUAUUGCAGAAACGAGAUUUCAAUUAUGCUCCACAAUCUCAUAGCAAAUACAAUAUCAUUUUAGGACAUCGUAGCAUUUUCUUUUUUGCAUCAAACUUCUAGUGUUUGAUGCCUGUGAUGUUUCCUCCAGCUAGCGAGGGACUAUGGGAUUCGCUGACUCACCUGCACAUGCCAAUUUGCAUUCCAAAGGCACCAAUCACAUUGAGCAAAUGGUAGGAGGGCACCAAUCUUGUGGAGAGCAUGAUAGGUGGGAGGCGAUCACAUGGAGAGCCUGAUAGGUGAGAGCCAAUCACGUUGAGAGACUGAUAGGUGGGCACCAAUCACAUGGAGAGCCUGAUAGGAGGCGGGCAGGUAAGAGGAUGUUCAUCCAUGCCCUGUGUGCCCUCACCAGCCUAUUCACUCUGGUGUGUGUGUGUGUGUGUGUGUGUGUCUGUCUGUCUGUCUGUCUGUCUGUCUGUCUGUCUGUCUGUCUGUCUGUCUGUGUUUUCUUUCGACCACAGAAAAGCCCGAUUCAAUUCAUUCUCCCCCGUUGAGGGAAUGAUUCACUGCACAAUACUCUGGAUUUCCCCAGAUCACUCAUGAUUAUUUAUCCCAUGACUACCACUGCUGCUGUGGGGUAUUGUUUUUUGUUUUUUUUCAGGGUUAUUUUCUCUAAAUUACACCUGCAAGGUCCUUCUAUGGUCACAGUCAUAAACAAUCACUCACCCACCCGGAGUCGCAAUUUGAAGGCGAAGUGAGUGGAUGUCUCAACAGUCACGUUUUCUCUUUUCCUGAAAGACUUUCUUCAGUGUACAUUGCAUUUGACUGCAGCUGGUUUCACCACAUGUCCAGUCAUGUCAGAAUUAAUAGAGAAGGAUGUCUUUUGAACAUAUUGGGACUCGACCAUAGUAAUGUCUCUCUGUCAUCGAAUAAACUGUUAAUAACCUCUUAUCUCUCUCUUCCUCUCUCUCUGUAUCUCUCUCUUCCUCUUUCUCUGUAUCUCUCUCUGUAUCUCUCUCUUCCUCUUUCUCUGUAUCUCUCUCUGUAUCUCUCUCUGUAUCUGUCUGUCUGUCUGUCUGUCUGUCUGUCUGUCUGUCUGUCUCUCUCUCUCUCUCUCUCUCUCUCUCUCUCUCUCUCUCUCUCUCUCUCUCUCUCUCUCUCUCUCUCUCUCUCUCUCUCUCUCUCUCUCUCUCUCUCUCUCUCUCUCUCUCUCUCUCUCUCUCUCUCUCUCUCUCUCUCUCUCUCUCUCUCUCUCUCUCUCUCUCUCUCUCUCUCUCUCUCUCUCUCUCUCUCUCUCUCUCUCUCUCUCUCUCUCUCUC
rnacentral:lncRNA from 13 species